UCGAGAAGUGCGACCCUUACCGCGAGGGUUAUGCUGACUGCGCCACCUACCUGGCAGCUGUUCCCCAGGGUGAAGCCUCAAAGGAGUAAAGUCUAGCAGGAUAGAAGGAGGUUUCUGAGGCUGACAGAAACAAGCAUUCCUGCCUUCCCUCCAGACCUCUCCCUCUGUUUUUUGCUGCCUUUAUCUGCACCCCUCACCCUGCUGGUGGUGGUCCUUGCCACCGGUUCUCUGUUCUCCUGGAAGUCCAGGGAAGAAGGAGGGCCCCAGCCUUAAAUUUAGUAAUCUGCCUUAGCCUUGGGAGGUCUGGGAAGGGCUGGAAAUCACUGGGGACAGGAAACCACUUCCUUUUGCCAAAUCAGAUCCCGUCCAAAGUGCCUCCCAUGCCUACCACCAUCAUCACAUCCCCCAGCAAGCCAGCCACCUGCCCAGCCGGGCCUGGGAUGGGCCACCACACCACUGGAUAUUCCUGGGAGUCACUGCUGACACCAUCUCUCCCAGCAGUCUUGGGGUCUGGGUGGGAAACAUUGGUCUCUACCAGGAUCCCUGCCCCACCUCUCCCCAAUUAAGUGCCUUCACACAGCACUGGUUUAAUGUUUAUAAACAAAAUAGAGAAACUUUCCUUAUAAAUAAAAGUAGUUUGCACAGAAA
rnacentral:lncRNA from 1 species